rnacentral:rRNA from 1 species
UACGUAGGGUGCGAGCGUUAAUCGGAAUUACUGGGCGUAAAGCGUGCGCAGGCGGUGCGCCAAGCUCGAUGUGAAAGCCCCGGGCUUAACCUGGGAAUUGCAUUGAGGACUGGCGUGCUCGAGUGCGGCAGAGGGGGGUGGAAUUCCACGUGUAGCAGUGAAAUGCGUAGAGAUGUGGAGGAACACCGAUGGCGAAGGCGAGUCUCUGGACAUUUCCUGACGCUGAGGCACGAAAGCCAGGGGAGCAAACGGG